rnacentral:lncRNA from 1 species
GCGGGGGGGUGGGGGUGGGGUGUCCAGUAGAUUGUUGCCAGGGCAUGGGCUGAUUCGGCGUGUUCCAAGUGACUCGGGACCUCAACAGGGCAUGUGCAGACCUGCCCGUCUGCAGCAGGCUGACCCGGCGUGUUCCGCGCAACUGGGGACCUCACCAGCAGCUUUUUAUCUGCACCGUCACUAACUUCACAGCUGCCUAGUUGAUGACAAAGGGACCACAGAGACGUCAGCUGCAAAAAUUAGUUUCUGAAAGGAAGAACAGCGGUUUUUCGUGUACUGGAGUAAAUAAUUACCAACUGUGCAGUGUUCUUCAAGAGAGAAAAUGCUUACUCUUCAAACCUGAGAUGCAGCUGCAUAAGCAAAUUACC